AGUAGGAUGGCUGAUAUUAGGUAAUAGAUUGUAAAUUUAUUUAAGGUUUUUACCUCUUACUA
rnacentral:tRNA from 1 species